UGCAUCGGCCGGGAAUCGAACCUGGGCCGCCCGCGUGGCAGGUGAGCAUUCUACCACUGAACCACCGAUGC
rnacentral:tRNA from 1 species